rnacentral:rRNA from 1 species
UACAGAGGUCCCAAGCGUUGUCCGGAUUCAUUGGGCGUAAAGAGCGCGCAGGCGGCUUGGUAAGUCGGGUGUGAAAACCCGGGGCUCAACCCCGGAACUGCACCCGAUACUGCCCGGCUAGAGGUAGGUAGGGGAGAUCGGAAUUCCUGGUGUAGCGGUGAAAUGCGCAGAUAUCAGGAGGAACACCGGUGGCGAAGGCGGAUCUCUGGGCCUUGCCUGACGCUAAGGCGCGAAAGCUAGGGGAGCGAACAGG